rnacentral:rRNA from 1 species
UACGGAGGAUGCAAGCGUUAUCCGGAUUUAUUGGGUUUAAAGGGUGCGCAGGUGGUUUAAUAAGUCAGUGGUGAAAGUCUGGCGCUUAACGUUAGGAUUGCCAUUGAUACUGUUAGACUUGAAUAUGGAUGAGGUAGGCGGAAUGUGUAGUGUAGCGGUGAAAUGCUUAGAUAUUACACAGAACACCGAUUGCGAAGGCAGCUUACUAAUCCAUCAUUGACGCUGAGGCACGAAAGCGUGGGGAUCAAACAGGAUUAGAAACCCUUGUAGUCC